AGUGAACGCUGGCGGCAGGCCUAACACAUGCAAGUCGAGCGGCAGCGCGGGGCAACCUGGCGGCGAGCGGCGGACGGGUGAGGAAUGCAUCGGAAUCUACCCUGUCGUGGGGGCAUAACGUAGGGAAACUUACGCUAAUACCGCAUACGACCGAGAGGUGAAAGUGGGGGACCGCAAGGCCUCACGCGAUUGGAUGAGCCGAUGCCGGAUUAGCUAGUUGGUGGGGCUAAACGGCCCACCAAGGCGACGAUCCGUAGCUGGUCUGAGAGGAUGAUCAGCCACACUGGGACUGAGACACGGCCCAGACUCCUACGGGAGGCAGCAGUGGGGCAAUAUUGGACAAUGGGCGCAAGCCUGAUCCAGCCAUGCCGCGUGUGUGAAGAAGGCCUUCGGGUUGUAAAUGCACUUUUGUUCGGGAAGAAAUUCGUGCGGAUUAAUACUUCGUACGGAUGACGGUACCGAAAUGAAUAAGCACCGGCUAACUUCGUGCCAGCAGCCGCGGUAAUACGAAGGGCUGCAAGCGUUACUCGGAAUUCACUGGGCGUAAAAGGCGUGCGUAGGCGGUUGGUUAAGUCUGCUGUGAAAGCCCUGGGCUCAACCUGGGAACUGCAGUGGAUACUGGCUAGCUAGAGUGUGAUAGAAGAUGGU
rnacentral:rRNA from 1 species